rnacentral:rRNA from 1 species
GAUGAACGCUGGCGGCGUGCCUAAUACAUGCAAGUCGAACGGAGUUCAGUUGGAAAGUCCUUCGGGACCGGAAUUCUGAACUUAGUGGCGGACGGGUGAGUAACGCGUGAGCAAUCUGCCUUUGAGAGGGGGAUAACAGUCGGAAACGACUGCUAAUACCGCAUAAAGCAUUUGGACCGCAUGAUCUGAAUGCCAAAGAUUUUAUCGCUCAAAGAUGAGCUCGCGUCCCAUUAGCUAGUUGGCGGGGUAACGGCCCACCAAGGCGACGAUGGGUAGCCGGACUGAGAGGUUGAACGGCCACAUUGGGACUGAGACACGGCCCAGACUCCUACGGGAGGCAGCAGUAGGGAAUAUUGCGCAAUGGGGGCAACCCUGACGCAGCAACGCCGCGUGAUUGAUGAAGGUCUUCGGAUUGU